UAGGAGUGGGAGAUGUAGAAGUAUGGGGAAAGUUGACUUGAGGAACUGUGUUUGUGGGUAGGCCUAGAAGUGGGAGAUGUCGAAGUAUGGGGAGUGUAGUUGGAGGAAGAAAUGGGUUCUUGGAGAGCAGCACCAGCAGCCACACCAGUAGUUCUUGCAAUAGUAACUGCUCUUCCAAUUGUCCUUAACAUGCUUCCUCCACUUCCACCUACCAUGCCUUUGCCAUCAAAC